rnacentral:rRNA from 1 species
UACGGAGGGGGCGAGCGUUAUUCGGAAUUACUGGGCGUAAAGGGCUCGUAGGUGGCCAACUAAGUCAGACGUGAAAUCCCUCGGCUUAACCGGGGAACUGCGUCUGAUACUGGAUGGCUUGAGUUUGGGAGAGGGAUGCGGAAUUCCAGGUGUAGCGGUGAAAUGCGUAGAUAUCUGGAGGAACACCGGUGGCGAAGGCGGCAUCCUGGACCAAUACUGACACUGAGGAGCGAAAGCCAGGGGAGCAAACGGG